CUAAACUAUUCUUCUAAAUUGUAAUAUUUAGCCAUGCCAAUUCCCAGAGAUUCUCAUAUUUCUGUCUCAGUGCUGCUCACGAAAUAAACAAAAUUCCUACAAACUGGAGCUACAGCUUAAAUAGAUUUAUACUACUAGUAAAACUAUGGUGCAGUAAAGCACGCAGCACAGGGAGCUGAGGGGGGUCUGCACCGUAGGCCCAGCUCUUCUUCUGGGUAUCUGACAAUGACCUCUCUGUGCCUAGGUUUUCUCCUGACUGAAACAAGAGAGGUGUAAUAAAUAACUCCUCACUUAUCUUCCAACCAGCAGAAUCUGUCUUUGUUACGUAAAAGUAGCCUGAUCAUGAAUAACAAUCUCAAUAGCAGUGAGAAAUGAGCAGAGUCACGUUUCAACCACUGCAAGACUCUUGUGUUUUGAAGGAAAGCUUGGAAAUCAUAUAAAUGUGUCCCCCAACUCCAGUCAGAACUGGAUCACAACCAUUCACAUAUGCUUUUUCAGGCUCAUCUUAAAGAUUCGCCUCAGGAGGUGAACUUUACAACUUCUUCUGUAACCUUGAGGCCAGAAAUUCUUCCUUGCUUCUGGUCUGACUUGCCUGGCUGGAUUUUCAGCUUAUUGUCAUGUGUUCUGUCCUUAGCAGGGAGGGAACACAAUUGGACUGACCAUUUAAGUGCUAUCUAGUAUUAAUCUGAGCCAUGGAAAAUUUGUUUGUACUAGAGUUUCUGUGGUCUUACAUUGCAUACCAGUGAAAUGAUAGAACCUGAUCCCCUGAUGGAAUGUUCUCUUGCAGGUCUAAAAUGACUGGAUGAUAAAGCCUAACAGGCUGGCAGGAGCACUGAGCAGUUCUUGAUAGGGGACACAGGGAAGGACAUUGUUUCUCCUGCUGCCUAGUCUCCUAGCAGCCUAAUGCACAGUGGUUCUUGACAUCAUGCUCUCUAAAAACCUAAAUUUGGAAAUAUGAAAUCAAUUCUUCUAAAAUGAGAUACUCAAGAAAUUGUAAAGAAAUUUUUAAAAGAUGGCAAAAUUUCUAGUAGUCCCCGGGGCUUAAAAGAGAUAGGACAAAUUGAUGAAGGGGAACAAAAUGAUAUUGUGUAGUCCCACCUCCAGCCUUCCAAAAGGUGAACUCUUAGGAUGCCCAUAUUGUAGACAAGGCCAAUGUAAUGGAAUAGGAACCCUACCAGAAACGGAUGCACCAAGGAAUAGGCAAUGCUGACAAUAUAAGCUGUUUUAAGAAGGAACAGUGCAAGACGUCGAAAAGAUGAAAGCUGGGUUUUUUUUUUUUUUUUGUGGUUUUUUUUUUUUUUUUUUUUUUUGCUGACACUCAGAAAGUAACCAGAAAGAGCUUCCUUGUUCAGUUUCCCCCUCCUGUGAGUUGUGUGGCUAUCCUGUGAGAAGCCUGGAGGAGGGAACAGUGGUAUCCCCCAAGGAUGGGCUUUCCGGGCCUCUUCCAGAGCAGUCCAGGUUUGUGAAUCAAUGCCGGGGGUGGGCCCAGGAUAGUUUUCCUUUCCCCACGGAGGCCAUGAUUAAGAAGGCAUCUGUCUGUCAACAGAGGCUUUCAGCUGUAUUUCCAGCCCAGCUUCCUCCCGACUGACUCAUCCGGUGAUGCCACAAUCUAAUGUUUAUGACCUAACAGUCGAUCACCAUGGAAGUAGCACAAACCUUAGACUGUUGAGGAGCAAAACCAGCGUCGAGAUGCUGGACGGUUUAGGAAAAGAAAACAGAAGCCCCUUAUUCGUCGAGACCGCAUGUUAGGACUGAACACCCGAUUCCUCAUGAAAAGAAGGCAGAAGAGGGCCAGUGAGAGCUGGCCAAUGAGAAGGCGGCCACAGUGGUGGCCUCUACUGGCAGUUGGGAGAUGGUCAGAUGCCAUUUUUCACAAAAAAAAAGAGAAGCUAUUCUAGGUACCACCAGUUGAAAUGUGUGCUACGCUGGAGGAAGAAGUCUGAGUUUCCUACAAAUUGCCCAGCUGUUUCGGGGGAUUUUUUUUAUCGCCAUGUUGGUCUCAUUUUCCCAUGGAGGCCUUGAUGACAAAAGCAGGCAGUGGGGUAUAUUGCUAACAUGGCUGUGCCUUUGACCAGAUCACUUCACCUCCAGGCAUUUCAGAUUCUUUCUUUGUAAAAUGAACAUUUGGAUGUGAUGAUUUCCCAGAUCUCUCCCGGUUCCCGAGACUAAAGUCUGCAGGCUAGUUUGAUCACAUGCCUCCAUCACUAAAAUACAUUUGACUAUCCACCCA